UACGUAGGGGGCAAGCGUUGUCCGGAAUCAUUGGGCGUAAAGCGCGCGUAGGCGGCCCGGUAAGUCCGCUCUGAAAGUCCAGGGCUUAACCCUGGAAAGCGGGUGGAUACUGCCGGGCUAGAAUCCGGAAGAGGCGAGUGGAAUUCCUGGUGUAGCGGUGGAAUGCGCAGAUAUCGUAAGGAAGACCAGUGGCGAAGGCGGGUCUCGUGGACAGUUCCUGACGCUGAGGCAGCGAAGGCCAGGGGGAGCAAACGGG
rnacentral:rRNA from 1 species